CCAUUAAGCCAUAUUCCCAGCCUUUUAAUGGUUUUUAGAAUCUUAGUAAUUACACCUUUUUAAUAUUAAAUUAUUGAAAAACAUGCUUGUUUUCUUUCUUUCUUUCUUUUUAAUUUUUAAUUUUUUUAUUAGUUGCUCAAAACAUUACAAUGACUCUUUCUUUCUUUUUUCUUGUGGUGUUGGGGAUUGAACCCAGGGCCUUGUUCAUACAAGGCAAGGACUCUACCAACUGAGCUAUAUCCCCAGAUAUAGCUUUUUAAUAUUCUGGUAUUACCUAUGCAUAAUAAAACUUGUGCUAUUUUUGGUAAAAGCAAUUUCUAUGUGUGAAAAAUAUCUUUUAUAUGAGGUAAUCCAUCUAAGCGAGGAAUCAACGUGGAUACUUAUUUCUUCAAACAUAGAUGUUCUUUUUAACUUUAAACUUUUGCCUAUAAUACCUUCUUAGGCCUCUUUGCCCAAUAAAAAUGUUGGGUCUCCCAAGUUGUCCUGUUCUUUUGAUGACUAGUCAACAUGAUUAUUUUCAUUAUCUCUUGGAGAACUGGAAAUGAGUUUGCAAAAACUACACUAAUGUGUUUAAGCCUGAUUUACUUAAAAUCUGUAGUGUUGCUCCUUAGACCCAUUGGAUAGCUUCAACCAUAAGUGAAAUCCAAGAGAGUCAAAUGAAGCAAUAGAAAAAAUCAAGCUUCUUAAUUUAUCUGGAAUCUGGCUUUUCAUAUCACCUUUCUCUCAAAGUAUGUUUCAUUCACUUGCAAAGCCCGGCUUUUUGUCUUUUGGUCACAAAGGCUUUGAUUGUCCUGAGCACUGAGCCUGCUCUUUGCUUCCUACCCAAGCCUGCAAUUGCUGAUGGAAAUUACAAGCCUGGUUGGCCCAGGGAUUUGGUCAGAUGUAAUUGCUCUGCAUUACAUGGUGACAUAGCUGUGACUUGCGUCCUAAUGCCAAAAGUAAACCUUGGGCCCCCGGGCAUUUCCCUUCACAGUUGCUCAUGCCUCACUCUUCAUUCAGAAUGCCUCUGUCACCGCCUGCUGUGUGCUCCUCAUGCUCCUGUUCUCCUACCGAAGGGAGAUGGAACAAAUCUGGCACGGCUG
rnacentral:lncRNA from 1 species